GACGCUCGACAUGAUCCUGGGAUUUAUAAAAUUCAUUUUAAAUUAAAGCUUAAAUUGUACCGUUGAGUUAUAGCUGACUAUAAUAUUAGGUAGAAUUGUGGUGGCACUCGACAAGCCAAAUAUCACCACUCGACACUAACUAGUGUCGGACAACGGCAGCGCAGUGGUUAGCGCUUUAGAUUACGAACGUUUGGAACCGGGGUUCGAAUCCCGGCGACCGGAGUCCGAUUUUUCUUCCACGCACCAAAUAACGGAGGAAAAAUCAGCAGUACCCCAGCUGUGACAUCUACAGCCCCUAGCGACAAUUACUCCGGACGAGGCCCAACAAGUACAACUAUCACGGACAACAAAUACCACCUCAAACUGGUGACCCCGACGUGACCGACAGCGAAACAGAGCAAACCUGGACACCUCCGCUCCGAUCGACGCGCAAAGCAGGUGACAGAAUACGAGACGAUGACCAAGCCAAGAGUGAUGUAGCCAUCGCAAAGUUCAUGGGCAUCACCACCAGCACGUCAUACUAAAGAGAGGAACAGAGUCCUACGACCGUACAAGGAACGCUCUGCACCGUACCGAGAGGUAUCCAUGACCAUAUCGAAGACAUCGCGCAACAUCUGCAAGGAUAGGACAACAAUCGGCUGACGCUUUACCACGUUAAGAUCUAUAAUGUUAUCUCUG
rnacentral:misc_RNA from 1 species